UACGUAGGGGGCAAGCGUUGUCCGGAAUCAUUGGGCGUAAAGCGCGUGUAGGCGGUCCGGUAAGUCCGCUGUGAAAGUCGGGGGCUCAACCCUCGAAAGCCGGUGGAAACUGUCGGGCUAGGGUGCGGAAGAGGCGAGUGGAAUUCCUGGUGUAGCGGUGAAAUGCGCAGAUAUCAGGAGGAACACCAAUUGCGAAGGCAGCUCGCUGGGACGUUACUGACGCUGAGACGCGAAAGCGUGGGGAGCAAACAGG
rnacentral:rRNA from 1 species